AGUGAACGCUGGCGGCGUGCUUAACACAUGCAAGUCGAACGAGAACGGAUUAUAGCUUGCUAUAUGACCUAGCGGCGGACGGGUGAGUAAAGCUUAGGAAUCUGCCAUUUAGUGGGGGACAACAUUUCGAAAGGGAUGCUAAUACCGCAUACGUCCUACGGGAGAAAGCAGGGGAUCGUAAGACCUUGCGCUAAAUGAUGAGCCUAAGUCGGAUUAGCUAGUUGGUGGGGUAAAGGCCUACCAAGGCGACGAUCUGUAGCGGGUCUGAGAGGAUGAUCCGCCACACUGGGACUGAGACACGGGCCAGACUCCUACGGGAGGCAGCAGUGGGGAAUAUUGGACAAUGGGGGGAACCCUGAUCCAGCCAUGCCGCGUGUGUGAAGAAGGCCUUUUGGUUGUAAAGCACUUUAAGCGAGGAGGAGGCUACCUGGAUUAAUACUCUAGGAUAGUGGACGUUACUCGCAGAAUAAGCACCGGCUAACUCUGUGCCAGCAGCCGCAGUAA
rnacentral:rRNA from 1 species